rnacentral:snRNA from 1 species
AAUGAGUUUAUGAUUAAAUGAGU